GACGAACGCUGGCGACGUGCUUAACACAUGCAAGUCGAACGGAAAGGCCCUGCUUGCAGGGUGCUCGAGUGGCGAACGGGUGAGUAACACGUGGGUGAUCUGCCCCUUACUUUGGGAUAAGCCUGGGAAACUGGGUCUAAUACUGGAUAGGACCAUGCUGUAGGUGGUGUGGUGGAAAGAUUAGUUUCGGUAAGGGAUGAGCUCGCGGCCUAUCAGCUUGUUGGUGGGGUAAUGGCCUACCAAGGCGUCGACGGGUAGCCGGCCUGAGAGGGUGGACGGCCACAUUGGGACUGAGAGACGGCCCAGACUCCUACGGGAGGCAGCAGUGGGGAAUAUUGCACAAUGGGCGCAAGCCUGAUGCAGCGACGCCGCGUGGGGGAUGACGGCCUUCGGGUUGUAAACUCCUUUCAGCCAUGACGAAGCCCUUGUGGUGACGGUAGUGGUAGAAGAAGCACCGGCUAACUACGUG
rnacentral:rRNA from 1 species